rnacentral:rRNA from 1 species
GAUGAACGCUGGCGGCGUGCCUAAUACAUGCAAGUCGAGCGAAUGGAUUAAGAGCUUGCUCUUAUGAAGUUAGCGGCGGACGGGUGAGUAACACGUGGGUAACCUGCCCAUAAGACUGGGAUAACUCCGGGAAACCGGGGCUAAUACCGGAUAACAUUUUGAACCGCAUGGUUCGAAAUUGAAAGGCGGCUUCGGCUGUCACUUAUGGAUGGACCAGCGUCGCAUUAGCUAGUUGGUGAGGUAACGGCUCACCAAGGCAACGAUGCGUAGCCGCCCUGAGAGGGGGGACGGCCACGCUGGGACUGAGACACGGCCCAGACUCCUACGGAAGGAAGCAGUAGGGAAUCUUCCUCAAUGGACGAAAGUCUGACGGAGCAAGGCCGCGUGAGUGAUGAAGGCUUUCGGGUCGUAAAACUCUGUUGUUAGGGAAGAACAAGUGCUAGUUGAAUAAGCUGGAACCUUGACGGUACCUAACCAGAAAGCCACGGCUAACUACGUGCCAGCAGCCGCCGUAA